GCACACAGGAGUUAGCGAAUGAAGGUGCAGCUAUUUUUCCUUCGUGUAUCUGGCAGAGUCACUAAAGCGGGUUCAGGGGGUGGCUCGUUUUCCUUCUGAAGGAACGAGACAGAUUCAGUCCGGAAAGACAAGCGUUUCCUUGGGCGUGAGCAGCUCGGCUUCCUAAUUCAAUAAUUGCACGUAUUAUAUUUGAUAACCUAUUGUGUACGCAAUAUGCCAUUUUAACAGCCCUGGAGUCUCAAGUUCUGUUCGGCCACAAAACAGAGAGCAUAGAUGACAGCGGGUCAGAUUUACACAUGCUGCUCACCUUAUGUUCCUUAAUUGUGUUCUGCAGAGACCACGUCUAAGGAUAGAGGUAGUUUCAUUUUCAUGCCCGUUUAAUCUCUGGCUUCUCUGCUGGGACUACCACCAACUUAGCUGGGAUAGUGCUUUAUUAUGAUAAUGUGUGUUUACUGAGAAAUGGACAAAAUGCUAAAAAAAGCCAUUUUGCAUGAGCCACAAAACAGCAAUGGAAAGCAGUAUGUCAGGAUCAUUAAUCGCUUCAUUCAGUUCCUUGCGGGGCUUUGGAUGAAGAUAGUUUAAUCAUUAGCAACAAGAUGUACUGUGGAUCACAUGCAUAUAAGCCAUUUUCUUCAGAUGAGUCUCUUUCAUACUAAGGCCAAGCACGAGAACUUCAGCCCCUAAAGUAAAAAGCACUGACAAAAGGAUCUAAAAUUUCUCGGUAUACUGCACUACACCGAAGCUUUAAUAAAGUUACUAAUAUUUUAUCUCAUGUGAACAAUUGAUCAUUCCUGUCAAAUUUCCAAUAAAGUAUCCUUAUCAUAAUUAAUAUGAAUGCCUGUCUGUAACUGAUGUCCUCCUCCUUUUCAUGAACUCUUCAAGGCACCUGCCUUACGCAUGAGAUUACCAUAACCUUUUUUAACGUGAAAUUGUUCUUUGGCAAUGUUUAUUUCACAUUGCCCAAUGCAUUUAUUGAUGCAGCUGGAUAAUAGAUGGGUGUGGGAAAUUUAUAGCAACUGUUGUUCCCAUGGAGGAUCUACUGUAGUUGCGAUGUUAGUUUCAAUGUAAGAUUUUGUUUCACUUACAGUUUUAGCCAUCAAAAAUAAAAGCCUAGCCAAAGAUUACUGAAACUAUAGAUAGCUAGACCACAGCUCCUGAAGACAUUUUACAUAGACAAGAUACAACUAUCUAUAUAAAUUAAGAAAUACCGAGAAUUAUCCCAGGGAUUUAAAAGUGCUAUAAAUAUCAAGACAGUAUUUAGAUUACAGCUACAACAGAGUCCCCAGCAACAUUAAUUCCCAGAGUUGGUAUCCCAGUUACCAUAUAAUUACAGAUUAAGUGCACAAAGUACAAAAUAUAAAGUUACAUAAUGAGACACUUUCAAGUGAGACUAUGCAGGUGAUCCUAGUGAAAGUUUAAACAAAUUCUUCAUACAUGGUUUCACAUUAGACACCAAGCCUAAACGUCUCUCAUUCAAAUUUCUAUUUUUAUAUUUGAAAAUUGACAUUAGUAAAUAUUGCAACAGCACACAGCUAAACUGAAAGAACAGUUGCUGAAAGAGCCACAUCUAUAUUUAUCCCUUUCAAGACUUCAAAUGGUCUGAACAACGUAUAUGUUGUUGUUUGGAGUAACAAUGUUUUAUUGCUGCUUUUUCCUGUCCUUACCACUAUUGUUAGUUAUAUUCAUGGGUUGCAGCUUUUCUAAGAGUUAGAUUGAAAAGCCUUCAGCGUCAGCAGUUUUUCUCAUUAGAUGUUUAGGUAAUGACUUGAACAAUGGAUUUUAACUUGAAUUGAAUUGGGGCUUCUGGGCAUCAUUGCAAUAUAAGUAUUAAAUUAUAAUUAGUAAAAAUAAUAACUGCCUGAAAGACAUAAAGGGACAAUAGGCAAUCAUUUCUGUAACAAGUAAACAUUGGAGUUUUGUUAUUUAUUUUGGAUAUUCCAUAACUUAAAUAUGCCCAUAUGCCAAAAGUCUUACUGUAACAUUUUCUGAAUUGAUCUGAUUCACAACUGUAUGACACCACUUUCAUGCUGAUGAGUCUGAGUUACAUCAGCACAAAACUGGUAUGGUUUAGGCCUAGAAGUAUAUUGUCAGGCCUAGAAGUAUUAGGAUUUAAGCCUAGAAGUACAUUGUUACAACUUCCUAAGUGAAGUGUGUAGGUUCCUAUCCACUGCAUGUGAACAGAUACUAAGUAAACAGUUCGUACUCAGUUUAACUUUGUGACAGUCCCAAAUUUACGCUGCUUAAAUAUUACAUUACACCAUACAAAGAGGUUUUCUCUAUAUUUGGUUGCAGUAUAUUUCAAAUAGUAAUCAAAUAUAGUGAUGAACAUAAAUGUAUUGUGUGACUAAGAUUUGGAGUAUUAUGCAAGUUCCAAUAAAAAGCUUUGUAACACCACAACCUAUUUUGUAUAUGCUCUGUUCCAGAAAUGGUUAGGAAUGUUUUAGAGUUAUUUUUAAACAUUUUAUUGUGACUUUUUGUUUGUAUUUCUCUUCCUUAGUUACCAUGGGUGAGCUCCUGAAUUCUGACCGAGGAACACUCGGCACAGCAUUCCUCAUGGAGGAGAAAAGGCCCAAAGGUGAUGUUAAGGCACCUUUGCUGUUCCCUGAUUCGGACUGCUUUGCUCCUGGACAGUCACCUUAACACUGACUUUAAGCUGUGAUGCAGUCUCUUAGCCUAAGAGUCUGUUCUGACAGCUGAUGCUGGCACAUAAAUCUUGCAGUGGUCAAAACAGAUGGAAAGGAACCAAAACUAGAGCCAUGCCGUGUGAGGUCACUGGCAUUUGUGAAUUGUAACCAUCAAUCCCUUGCUCACGAGAGCCUGCAGAGUUGCUUCUGGCCACCCUGAAGACAGAGUUAAAUGUGAAGUUGGCAGACAGAGCAAAAUAUGGAGUUGCCCAAAAUACACUAUUUGCUCAGUAUUUUGCCUGUGCCCCAGUGAUGAUUUUGAACAAUUGCCUUUGGUAAGCUUCUCGGAUCCAAAAAGGGUAACAUCUAAUGUUGCUGAGGCUUUUUGUGUCCAAAAAAGCAAUCCUGAAAGAGGACCGUACCAACUUCUAAUCAAACCUGAAAUAACUUUUCUAUAGCAAAUCAAUUACAUUAGCUCUAGAGUAGCUGUACACUAGUUACAUUGCUCUUCAAAGGCCGGUAAUUAGUACUGCAUCCUCCUGUAGGAAAACUAUCACUCCUCCCUCUCCAGUGGUAGGAAAGAAGAAUUUAUGUGGCAAGUUUAUUUAAAAUUAAUGGUGGUGGAUUUUUUAAGCUGAUGAAAACCCAUAAGAAUCCCUUCUGAAGUAAUGAAUUGGUGAAUAAGUGAUGUGAAAAUAGACACUGUAAAUGUAUCACAAUUACCAUUCCAGAAAUAUUCUAUAUAGGCACAUUUAUGCUAAUGAUACCCAUCACGCUAACCAUUGAAUGAAUCCAUAUUUCUGUAA